rnacentral:rRNA from 1 species
UACGUAGGGGGCUAGCGUUGUCCGGAAUUAUUGGGCGUAAAGCGCGUGUAGGCGGUUUGUCGCGUCUGCUGUGAAAAUCCGGGGCUCAACCCCGGACUUGCAGUGGGUACGGGCAGACUAGAGUGUGGUAGGGGAGACUGGAAUUCCUGGUGUAGCGGUGAAAUGCGCAGAUAUCAGGAGGAACACCGAUGGCGAAGGCAGGUCUCUGGGCCACUACUGACGCUGAGAAGCGAAAGCAUGGGGAGCGAACAGG